rnacentral:rRNA from 1 species
GACGAACGCUUGCGGCGUGCUUAACACAUGCAAGUCGAACGGAAAGGCCCUGCUUUUGUGGGGUGCUCGAGUGGCGAACGGGUGAGUAACACGUGAGUAACCUGCCCUUGACUUUGGGAUAACUUCAGGAAACUGGGGCUAAUACCGGAUAGGAGCUCCUGCUGCAUGGUGGGGGUUGGAAAGUUUCGGCGGUUGGGGAUGGACUCGCGGCUUAUCAGCUUGUUGGUGGGGUAGUGGCUUACCAAGGCUUUGACGGGUAGCCGGCCUGAGAGGGUGACCGGCCACAUUGGGACUGAGAUACGGCCCAGACUCCUACGGGAGGCAGCAGUGGGGAAUAUUGCACAAUGGGCGGAAGCCUGAUGCAGCAACGCCGCGUGCGGGAUGACGGCCUUCGGGUUGUAAACCGCUUUCGCCUGUGACGAAGCGUGAGUGACGGUAAUGGGUAAAGAAGCACCGGCUAACUACGUGCCAGCAGCCGCGGUGAUACGUAGGGUGCGAGCGUUGUCCGGAUUUAUUGGGCGUAAAGGGCUCGUAGGUGGUUGAUCGCGUCGGAAGUGUAAUCUUGGGGCUUAACCCUGAGCGUGCUUUCGAUACGGGUUGACUUGAGGAAGGUAGGGGAGAAUGGAAUUCCUGGUGGAGCGGUGGAAUGCGCAGAUAUCAGGAGGAACACCAGUGGCGAAGGCGGUUCUCUGGGCCUUUCCUGACGCUGAGGAGCGAAAGCGUGGGGAGCGAACAGGCUUAGAUACCCUGGUAGUCCACGCUGUAAACGGUGGGUACUAGGUGUGGGGUCCAUUCCACGGGUUCCGUGCCGUAGCUAACGCUUUAAGUACCCCGCCUGGGAAGUACGGCCGCAAGGCUAAAACUCAAAGGAAUUGACGGGGCCCCGCACAAGCGGCGGAGCAUGCGGAUUAAUUCGAUGCAACGCGUAGAACCUUACCUGGGUUUGACAUGGAUCGGGAGUGCUCAGAGAUGGGUGUGCCUCUUUUGGGGUCGGUUCACAGGUGGUGCAUGCCUGUCGUCAGCUCGUGUCGUGAGAUGUUGGGUUAAGUCCCGCAACGAGCGCAACCCUUGUUCACUGUUGCCAGCACGUUAUGGUGGGGACUCAGUGGAGACCGCCGGGGUCAACUCGGAGGAAGGUGGGGAUGACGUCAAGUCCUCAUGCCCCUUAUGUCCAGGGCUUCACGCAUGCUACAAUGGCUGGUACAGAGAGUGGCGAGCCUGUGAGGGUGAGCGAAUCUCGGAAAGCCGGUCUCAGUUCGGAUUGGGGUCUGCAACUCGACCUCAUGAAGUCGGAGUCGCUAGUAAUCGCAGAUCAGCAACGCUGCGGUGAAUACGUUCCCGGG